rnacentral:tRNA from 1 species
GCCGUCCUAGCUCAAAUGGACAGAGCGCCUGGCUUCGAACCAGGAGGCUGGGGGAUCAUACCCUCCGGGCGGCG